CCAGGACGUGCUGGUGGUGGCGGACCGUCAAAACAACGAUACCCGUCGCACGGCCAACGGUCGUCCGCAAGAAACUAUCAACGUUAAUCUGCGCGCAUAAGCAGCUGGCGAUAUUUUUUUAGUUUUUGGAAGUGAUGUACGGAGCACAAGAGCAAUGAAAUUACCGAUUUAUCUGGAUUACUC
rfam:Serratia proteamaculans 568, complete genome.